rnacentral:rRNA from 1 species
GUGAACGCUGGCGGUAGGCCUAACACAUGCAAGUCGAACGGCAGCACCGUAAGAGCUUGCUCUUACGGGUGGCGAGUGGCGGACGGGUGAGGAAUACAUCGGAAUCUACUUUUUCGUGGGGGAUAACGUAGGGAAACUUACGCUAAUACCGCAUACGACCUACGGGUGAAAGCAGGGGAUCUUCGGACCUUGCGCGAUUGAAUGAGCCGAUGUCGGAUUAGCUAGUUGGCGGGGUAAAGGCCCACCAAGGCGACGAUCCGUAGCUGGUCUGAGAGGAUGAUCAGCCAAACUGGAACUGAGACACGGUCCAGACUCCUACGGGAGGCAGCAGUGGGGAAUAUUGGACAAUGGGCGCAAGCCUGAUCCAGCCAUACCGCGUGGGUGAAGAAGGCCUUCGGGUUGUAAAGCCCUUUUGUUGGGAAAGAAAAGCAGCAGGUUAAUACCCCGCCGUUCUGACGGUACCCAAAGAAUAAGCACCGGCUAACUUCGUG